GGGUUGUGAGGUUAAGCGACUAAGCGUACACGGUGGAUGCCCUGGCAGUCAGAGGCGAUGAAGGACGUGCUAAUCUGCGAUAAGCGUCGGUAAGGUGAUAUGAACCGUUAUAACCGGCGAUUUCCGAAUGGGGAAACCCAGUGUGUUUCGACACACUAUCAUUAACUGAAUCCAUAGGUUAAUGAGGCGAACCGGGGGAACUGAAACAUCUAAGUACCCCGAGGAAAAGAAAUCAACCGAGAUUCCCCCAGUAGCGGCGAGCGAACGGGGAGCAGCCCAGAGCCUGAAUCAGUGUGUGUGUUAGUGGAAGCGUCUGGAAAGGCGCGCGAUACAGGGUGACAGCCCCGUACACAAAAAUGCACAUGCUGUGAGCUCGAUGAGUAGGGCGGGACACGUGGUAUCCUGUCUGAAUAUGGGGGGACCAUCCUCCAAGGCUAAAUACUCCUGACUGACCGAUAGUGAACCAGUACCGUGAGGGAAAGGCGAAAAGAACCCCGGCGAGGGGAGUGAAAAAGAACCUGAAACCGUGUACGUACAAGCAGUGGGAGCACGCUUAGGCGUGUGACUGCGUACCUUUUGUAUAAUGGGUCAGCGACUUAUAUUCUGUAGCAAGGUUAACCGAAUAGGGGAGCCGAAGGGAAACCGAGUCUUAACUGGGCGUUAAGUUGCAGGGUAUAGACCCGAAACCCGGUGAUCUAGCCAUGGGCAGGUUGAAGGUUGGGUAACACUAACUGGAGGACCGAACCGACUAAUGUUGAAAAAUUAGCGGAUGACUUGUGGCUGGGGGUGAAAGGCCAAUCAAACCGGGAGAUAGCUGGUUCUCCCCGAAAGCUAUUUAGGUAGCGCCUCGUGAAUUCAUCUCCGGGGGUAGAGCACUGUUUCGGCAAGGGGGUCAUCCCGACUUACCAACCCGAUGCAAACUGCGAAUACCGGAGAAUGUUAUCACGGGAGACACACGGCGGGUGCUAACGUCCGUCGUGAAGAGGGAAACAACCCAGACCGCCAGCUAAGGUCCCAAAGUCAUGGUUAAGUGGGAAACGAUGUGGGAAGGCCCAGACAGCCAGGAUGUUGGCUUAGAAGCAGCCAUCAUUUAAAGAAAGCGUAAUAGCUCACUGGUCGAGUCGGCCUGCGCGGAAGAUGUAACGGGGCUAAACCAUGCACCGAAGCUGCGGCAGCGACGCUGAUGCGUUGUUGGGUAGGGGAGCGUUCUGUAAGCCUGCGAAGGUGUGCUGUGAGGCAUGCUGGAGGUAUCAGAAGUGCGAAUGCUGACAUAAGUAACGAUAAAGCGGGUGAAAAGCCCGCUCGCCGGAAGACCAAGGGUUCCUGUCCAACGUUAAUCGGGGCAGGGUGAGUCGACCCCUAAGGCGAGGCCGAAAGGCGUAGUCGAUGGGAAACAGGUUAAUAUUCCUGUACUUGGUGUUACUGCGAAGGGGGGACGGAGAAGGCUAUGUUGGCCGGGCGACGGUUGUCCCGGUUUAAGCGUGUAGGCUGGUUUUCCAGGCAAAUCCGGAAAAUCAAGGCUGAGGCGUGAUGACGAGGCACUACGGUGCUGAAGCAACAAAUGCCCUGCUUCCAGGAAAAGCCUCUAAGCAUCAGGUAACAUCAAAUCGUACCCCAAACCGACACAGGUGGUCAGGUAGAGAAUACCAAGGCGCUUGAGAGAACUCGGGUGAAGGAACUAGGCAAAAUGGUGCCGUAACUUCGGGAGAAGGCACGCUGAUAUGUAGGUGAAGUCCCUUGCGGAUGGAGCUGAAAUCAGUCGAAGAUACCAGCUGGCUGCAACUGUUUAUUAAAAACACAGCACUGUGCAAACACGAAAGUGGACGUAUACGGUGUGACGCCUGCCCGGUGCCGGAAGGUUAAUUGAUGGGGUUAGCCGCAAGGCGAAGCUCUUGAUCGAAGCCCCGGUAAACGGCGGCCGUAACUAUAACGGUCCUAAGGUAGCGAAAUUCCUUGUCGGGUAAGUUCCGACCUGCACGAAUGGCGUAAUGAUGGCCAGGCUGUCUCCACCCGAGACUCAGUGAAAUUGAACUCGCUGUGAAGAUGCAGUGUACCCGCGGCAAGACGGAAAGACCCCGUGAACCUUUACUAUAGCUUGACACUGAACAUUGAGCCUUGAUG
rnacentral:rRNA from 1 species